GCCUGGAGGAAACCUGAGUUCCCCAUUAUGUAGCUACGAAAAAACAGAAGCCUCCUCUUGUUUUGACAGGAGGAGGUUGGUUCACACCAUUGACAUAGCCUAUUUCAUUCCACCAACAGCAGACCUUUUCACGCGCCAGCUGUGCAGCUGUAAUCAAGCUGCACAUUUUAAUUCUGCAUGGCACUAUACCGCGGGAAAUUCGCCGCUGCUUGUCCCAUUUAAAAUUCGCAGGAAUUACUUUAAUCAAAGACCAGUGACUGACAUGAAACUCAAUAACGGAGGUACCAUACUUGAAUGUCUCUGGAGGCCCCUAAUAAAAGUCUGGAGACUCCUGUGCUGCCGUGAAACUGACUAUGAAAUAAAACUAUCAGAGGAAGAAACAGAACUAAUUCCCAUCAUCACCGAUGUCCCUAGCUCUGCCCGUCCAUGGUUUUAAAACUGAGGAGAAGAUGAUGGAGUUUAGUAAGGAGCUCCUGUUUUCACUUUCUGGAACAGCUCUCCUGGAAAAGACCUUCCCAAAACACCCAGACCUCCGGUCCAUUUGUUUCACUGGAAAUGGAAAACCGAGUCCAGUAUCGCAUUAUAGAAAACAAUAUUUUCUUCAUAUACAAGUAAAAAAAAAAGCACGGCACUGUUAUUCUGAUAAUGCUCAGCUGUAACUUCAGGAGUAUUCAAACUUGAUGAAAUUAAUGUCUAAACUGUUUUACAAUUGCAUGAGAAAACAGAUUGUCAUUUUUUUUAGCCCUAUACUGGAUUUGUUAAAGGUCCCACCAAGGUUACCUUUGGUUCAGACAAGCAGAUUAAUGCUGUUGUGAAAAGUAACUUCUUCCAGCUUUGGGCUGUUAGCACACCGAAAUCUCAGGUACUUUUAUGUGUUUUGUUUGUUUGUUUUAUUUACUCUGACAAUUUAUGCCUGGUACUAUUAAGAGGGACCAUAUUUCAUCUACACUGGCCCCUCUUUACUGGUUACCAGUCCAGUUUAGAAUUAAGGUAUUGUGCUGCAGGGAUGACAUAUUUUUGUAGGCCAACCUGGAAAAUGAAGAAAAAAGCUCUGAAGAAAAGUGUAUUAUUCGGAAGCAUAAAUACAAUGGACAGAAGUAAAAAAGUAAAUGUAGGCUAUAAAUUAACAACAGCACGGUCACAUGACUUCAACGUCACCACCAUUAGGCUUCUGACAACUCUAUCAGUCUUUAUUUCAAAAACAUUUCCCCUGAAAAUUUGAGUUAGAAUAGCUUGCAAGAUCGUGAUAAUGAACACAAUGAGGCUGUAAAAGUGGACGAGUGAGUAAAUGAGUUUACAUGUUCGACUGAUGACGUUUUACAUUUAAUGUUAAAAACUUGCCUUAAGACAUAUAUUUGUAUUGGUUUUCUUUUGUUUUAUGUCUAAGUAUAUGUCUAUCUAUGUUAUUGUGCACAAAUUUUGUAAGCACUUUUUUUCCAUUUUUUUGUAUGUUAAAAUUGUAUGAAAUGAGAUUUGCAAAAAUGUAUACUUCCAAAACUGAAUGCAUAAUGUAUAUUAGCCAGUGACAGAUAAUCAGGGAGAAUUUUGGUGUGAUUUGUUAACCUAACAAACCCAGUGUUUUAGUUAGGUUAGCAGCUUAUUUCUGCCUCUGUGGAAUUGUAGUUGAAAUGGCAGAGAACUUAUUUUUUUUCCAAACUAAAUAAAAAUGAAAGUGAAAGUGUU